rnacentral:rRNA from 1 species
UACGGGGGGGGCAAGCGUUGUUCGGAAUUACUGGGCGUAAAGGGCUCGUAGGCGGCCAACUAAGUCAUACGUGAAAUCCCACGGCUCAACCGUGGAAGUGCACUCGAAACUGCAUAGCUAGAGUCCUGGAGAGGAAGGUGGAAUGCUUGGUGUAGAGGUGAAAUUCGUAGAUAUCAAGCGGAACACCGGUGGCGAAGGCGGCCUUCUGGACAGUGACUGACGCUGAGACGCGAAAGCGUGGGGAGCAAACAGG